rnacentral:rRNA from 1 species
CACACUAUCAUUAACUGAAUCCAUAGGUUAAUGAGGCGAACCGGGGGAACUGAAACAUCUAAGUACCCCGAGGAAAAGAAAUCAACCGAGAUUCCCCCAGUAGCGGCGAGCGAACGGGGAGCAGCCCAGAGCCUGAAUCAGUGUGUGUGUUAGUGGAAGCGUCUGGAAAGGCGCGCGAUACAGGGUGACAGCCCCGUACACAAAAAUGCACAUACUGUGAGCUCGAUGAGUAGGGCGGGACACGUGGUAUCCUGUCUGAAUAUGGGGGGACCAUCCUCCAAGGCUAAAUACUCCUGACUGACCGAUAGUGAACCAGUACCGUGAGGGAAAGGCGAAAAGAACCCCGGCGAGGGGAGUGAAAAAGAACCUGAAACCGUGUACGUACAAGCAGUGGGAGCACGCUUAGGCGUGUGACUGCGUACCUUUUGUAUAAUGGGUCAGCGACUUAUAUUCUGUAGCAAGGUUAACCGAAUAGGGGAGCCGAAGGGAAACCGAGUCUUAACUGGGCGUUAAGUUGCAGGGUAUAGACCCGAAACCCGGUGAUCUAGCCAUGGGCAGGUUGAAGGUUGGGUAACACUAACUGGAGGACCGAACCGACUAAUGUUGAAAAAUUAGCGGAUGACUUGUGGCUGGGGGUGAAAGGCCAAUCAAACCGGGAGAUAGCUGGUUCUCCCCGAAAGCUAUUUAGGUAGCGCCUCGUGAAUUCAUCUCCGGGGGUAGAGCACUGUUUCGGCAAGGGGGUCAUCCCGACUUACCAACCCGAUGCAAACUGCGAAUACCGGAGAAUGUUAUCACGGGAGACACACGGCGGGUGCUAACGUCCGUCGUGAAGAGGGAAACAACCCAGACCGCCAGCUAAGGUCCCAAAGUCAUGGUUAAGUGGGAAACGAUGUGGGAAGGCCCAGACAGCCAGGAUGUUGGCUUAGAAGCAGCCAUCAUUUAAAGAAAGCGUAAUAGCUCACUGGUCGAGUCGGCCUGCGCGGAAGAUGUAACGGGGCUAAACCAUGCACCGAAGCUGCGGCAGCGAC